rnacentral:rRNA from 1 species
UACGGGGGGGCAAGCGUUGUUCGGAAUUACUGGGCGUAAAGGGCUCGUAGGCGGCCAACUAAGUCAGACGUGAAAUCCCUCGGCUUAACCGGGGAACUGCGUCUGAUACUGGAUGGCUUGAGUUUGGGAGAGGGAUGCGGAAUUCCAGGUGUAGCGGUGAAAUGCGUAGAUAUCGGGAGGAACACCAAUGGCGAAGGCAGCUCGCUGGGACGGUACUGACGCUGAGACGCGAAAGCGUGGGAGCAACAGG